rnacentral:rRNA from 1 species
CACGAAAUUAGCCGGGGCUUCUUCUGUGGGUACCGUCAUUAUCUUCCCCACUGAAAGAGCUUUACAGCCCUAAGGCCUUCAUCACUCACGCGGCAUGGCUGGAUCAGGCUUGCGCCCAUUGUCCAAUAUUCCCCACUGCUGCCUCCCGUAGGAGUCUGGGCCGUGUCUCAGUCCCAGUGUGGCUGAUCAUCCUCUCAGACCAGCUAAAGAUCGUCGCCUUGGUAGGCCAUUACCCCACCAACUAGCUAAUCUUACGCGGGCUCAUCUAAUUCCGAUAAAUCUUUCCCCCGUAGGCGUAUACGGUAUUAGCACAAGUUUCCCUGUGUUGUUCCGUAGAACUAGGUAGAUUCCCACGCGUUACUCACCCGUCUGCCACUCCCUUGCGGGCGUUCGACUUGCAUGUGUUAAGCCUGCCGCCAGCGUUCGUCUUGAGCCAGGAUACAAACUACU